rnacentral:rRNA from 1 species
GACAGAGGGUGCAAACGUUGCUCGGAAUCAUUGGGCGUAAAGCGUGUGUAGGCGGCUUGUUACGUCGGGUGUGAAAGCCCAGGGCUCAACCCUGGCAGUGCACCCGAAACGGGGAAGCUGGAGUACUGGAGAGGCGAGUGGAAUUCCUGGUGUAGAGGUGAAAUUCGUAGAUAUCAGGAGGAACACCCGUGGCGAAGGCGGCAUCCUGGACUACUACUGACGCUGAGGAGCGAAAGCCAGGGGAGCAAACGGG